ensembl:rRNA 5S_rRNA 5S ribosomal RNA
GCCACCAGCCAUAUCACCCUGCAACUCACAACUGGCAACCCACUGAAGCUAAGUAGGUGUGAGCCUGGUCAGUACCUGGAUGGGAGACCACCUGGGAAAAACUAAGGUUGCUGCUGGAA